rnacentral:tRNA from 1 species
GGGGUCGUAGCUCAGUUGGUAGAGCUUCUGUUUUGCACGCAGAUGGUCGGGAGUUCAAUUCUCCCCGACUCCACUA